rnacentral:siRNA from 1 species
ACCCUAGAAUUGACAGGUUUGGGU